rnacentral:lncRNA from 1 species
UUUGUCUUAAAAAAAAAAAAAAAAAAAAAAAAAAAAAAAAAAAAAAAAAAAAAAAAAAAAAAAAAAAAAAAAAAAAAAAAAAAAAAAAAAAAAAAAAAAAAAAGUAACAAAAGAAAAGGAAACAAUGAUAUUUUAUGGAUAUAACAUUAUGUAUUUAUUUAUAAACAGAUAAUAUGGAUGUGUAUGUGUGUGUGUCUAUGUGUAUUUGAGAUGUUUUUAAAUAAAAAUAUGAACAUACUAUAAGUAUUUUACA